GCCGGUCCUCGGGCGGCCUCGACCUGCGGGACCUAGGGGCCCGACGGGCGAGGGGUCUGUGCUGUCACCUGAGCCUAGGAAACUAUCAGGGCUCUCCGAUGGAGGUCGCAGUACCAAGCAACACGAAAUUGAAAUGCACCAAGAGUGGUUUACAGCCAGGCACCUACUACGUGUUCAUUUCUACAUUUGAGUCCAGAACAGCUGUGUGGAGCCGGUUGUCUUAACAAGACAUUUCUGGAUUCCUGGGAUCACACACCUACAUCUUUCCCUCUGCAGAAGGCCUGGAACCUCAUUGUUCCCAGAGUGUUGACCUUAGACCUCAGAAGCCAUAGCCAGAAGUCACUGCAGUUCUUUUAAUAACACUACAUUUCAAGACAUUAAAACUGUAGAUCUGGAUUUGCUGACCAUCUUUCUGUGCCCCACUCUUACGCAGUAGGGCAGCCAAGUGUUAGGCCUGGUUAAGAGUGAAUUAUUAGAUAAUGACCAUUUGAUCAAUCCAGAAGUCUAACGUGAUAAUAAUGAGUGAUUACCAGCGACAUGCCCUGUUUCCUGGGCAAAUGGAAAAGUGAAAAGAAUCUACUCACCAAAAGCUUGAAACCUGGAGGGGCAAGAAAGACAACAUGUUGUAACAGGCUGGCUCAUGGGAGAAGUUCAAAGAGGCUUGGAGAUGCUGGCUGGAGAAGCAGCCCUAGAAUGAUGCAAACAGAGCUUGAUAGGAGAUUCUGGUCAGAGCUCUGAAGAACAAAAUGCUGACAGCCGAAACCCUCCACACAGGGCACAUCUGCAGCCUCCCUCCUGUCCACUGUGAAGCUUUGCCACUCCUCUGUCUGCCUUCAAGUCUCUGACAGAACUCAAGUGACAGAAGCCAAAUCCUGUGCUGUAGCAAAUAAGGAAUGAAGUCUUUUCUUCUCUUGUUUGGUUGGUCAUUGUUUAUUUCCCAACAUAAU